rnacentral:tRNA from 1 species
GAGGAUGUAGCUCAGUGGUAGAGCACAUACCUCGCAUGCACGAGGUCCAGGGUUCAAUUCCCAGUACCUCCA